AGUGAGCGCUGGCGGUAGGCCUAACACAUGCAAGUCGAACGGCAGCACAGUAAGAGCUUGCUCUUACGGGUGGCGAGUGGCGGACGGGUGAGGAAUACAUCGGAAUCUACUUUUUCGUGGGGGAUAACGUAGGGAAACUUACGCUAAUACCGCAUACGACCUACGGGUGAAAGCAGGGGAUCUUCGGACCUUGCGCGAUUGAAUGAGCCGAUGUCGGAUUAGCUAGUUGGCGGGGUAAAGGCCCGCCAAGGCGACGAUCCGUAGCUGGUCUGAGAGGAUGAUCAGCCACACUGGAACUGAGACACGGUCCAGACUCCUACGGGAGGCAGCAGUGGGGAAUAUUGGACAAUGGGCGCAAGCCUGAUCCAGCCAUACCGCGUGGGUGAAGAAGGCCUUCGGGUUGUAAAGCCCUUUUGUUGGGAAAGAAAAGCAGCAGGUUAAUACCCCGCUGUUCUGACGGUACCCAAAGAAUAAGCACCGGCUAACUUCGUG
rnacentral:rRNA from 1 species